rnacentral:rRNA from 1 species
GCCUUGGCUGGGCGGUCCGGCCUUUCGGUCGGUACUGCUUUGGCCGGGGUUCACCUUCUGGUGAGCCGUCCGUGCCCUUAACUGGGUGGGGCGGGGAACCAGGACUUUUACUUUGAAAAAAUUAGAGUGUUCAAAGCAGGCUCGCGCUUGAAUACAUUAGCAUGGAAUAAUGGAAUAGGACUCUGGUUCUAUUUUGUUGGUUUCUAGGACCGGGGUA